AGGAUGAACGCUGGCGGCGUGCCUAAAACAUGCAAGUCAUACGGUCUACCUUCGGGUAGACAGUGGCAAACGGGUGAGUAACACGUGGGAACACGCCUUCGAGUGGGGAAUAACGCUGAGAAAUCAGUGCUAAUACCGCAUAUGGUCUAACGACUAAAGCAGUAAUGCGCUCGGAGAGUGGCCCGCGUCCGAUUAGCUAGUUGGUGGGUAAUGGCCUACCAAGGCGGUGAUCGGUAGCUGGU
rnacentral:rRNA from 1 species